AUGUAUGAGUACCGAGACAAGGAAACAUUUGAGGAAGCUUUUGACACCAUGCGAGGUAAAAUAGAAAAACAAACUUGGCUUGAUAGCAUCUAUAAGGUAAAAGAGAAGUGGGAUGAAUGUUUUAUGAUGGAUGCUUUCACCUUGGGAAUGCGAAGCACACAACUAAGUGAGAGCCUAAAUAAUGACCUCAAGAACCACUUAAAAGCAGAUCUUGACAUUCUUCGUUUUUUCAAACAUUUUGAAAGGGCCGUGCAAGUGAAACGUGAUGCUGAGUUGAAUUCAGAGUAUGAGUCUAGGGAGUUAUUACCUAGGGUCAAAAUGAAUGUUCCCAUGUUAAUCCAGGCAAGCAAGGUCUACAGUCCUAUCAUAUUUGAAAGUUUUCAAGCAGAAUUUGAGAGAUCCAUUGCAUCAUUCACCAAACAACUAGAUGUGGGCUAUGAAUUUGCCAUAACAAUCAGCUCCGAAGAUGAAUGCAAAGUUAUUGGGAAUCCUUUUGAACAAACAGCUUCCUGCAGCUGUGGCCAGUUUGAGAGAAUCGGUAUAUUGUGUGCCCAUGCUAUAAAAGUUCUUGAUUUGAUGAACAUUAAGUUAUUGCCAGAACAUUAUAUUCUGAAGAGAUGGACUAGAGAAGCACGGUGUGGAACUAUUCAGGACAGAAGUGGGAGGAAUGUUGUUGAGAACCCAAUGUUCGAUAUUGAUCAGCGCUACAAAUCUCUCAAUCGCAAGUUUAUGAAUUUGGCCACCCAAGUAGCUCCCUCCGAAGAAUGUUGUACUCUGCUUGAAAGUGCACUUGAUAGCCUUACUAAGGAAUUUCUAGGCCGAAUGAAAAAUGCCCAUCAAAGUAACCACAUGGAGGGAUGUUCCACCCAAGUGGUACAUGAAGAAUCAAAUGAGCACUUAGCUGCUGCACGCCUAAAGAAAAAAUCUCCUAAGAAGAAAACUAGAAAGAGAAAGUUGAACUGGAUUGACAAGCAACAUAAGAACAAGAAGAAAGGGGCUCCAAAGAAAGGACAAACUGAAGUAAAGAGAGCAAAGAAAUUACCUAAGUUUCAGCAAAGAGAAGAUGGGAUUGGACCAUCACAAUCGCACACCAUAGAAAACAAUGAGUAUUGGAGCAACCAGAAUGUGACCGGGAGUAAUUGUUUCACAGAUAAUUAUAUUGCACCUAGUUUUACCGAUUUGGUGACGACUUCUAGAGUCGAAGACAUUGAAGCCCUUUGCCGUGACGACUUCUUUUGA
rnacentral:rRNA from 1 species